CACACUGGACCUUUGCAAAUUGCA
rnacentral:miRNA from 1 species